AGUGAACGCUGGCGGUAGGCCUAACACAUGCAAGUCGAACGGCAGCACAGGAGAGCUUGCUCUCUGGGUGGCGAGUGGCGGACGGGUGAGGAAUACAUCGGAAUCUACUCUGUCGUGGGGGAUAACGUAGGGAAACUUACGCUAAUACCGCAUACGACCUACGGGUGAAAGCAGGGGACCUUCGGGCCUUGCGCGAUUGAAUGAGCCGAUGUCGGAUUAGCUAGUUGGCGGGGUAAAGGCCCACCAAGGGGACGAUCCGUAGCUGGGCUGAGAGGAUGAUCAGCCACACUGGAAGUGAGACACGGUCCAGACUCCUACGGGAGGCAGCAGUGGGGAAUAUUGGACAAUGGGCGCAAGCCUGAUCCAGCCAUACCGCGUGGGUGAAGAAGGCCUUCGGGUUGUAAAGCCCUUUUGUUGGGAAAGAAAUCCAGCUGGCUAAUACCCGGUUGGGAUGACGGUACCCAAAGAAUAAGCACCGGCUAACUUCGUGCCAGCCGCCGCCGUAA
rnacentral:rRNA from 1 species